rnacentral:tRNA from 1 species
UUUAAGCUCCAUAUAUAAAGUAAUUUACUUUUAUUAGAAAC